CUAGCCCCUGACCCGGAUCAGCGAGUCCAGCGCCGGACCGUCCAGGCACGUGAAGUUCUGCAGCAGCGCCCACUUGUCGCGCUGGAACCUCGCGCUGGAAUCGCGCGCCGCGGGGCUCUCGAGCACCCAGAACACGCCGGUGCCCAGCGCCAGGUGAGGGACCCCAGUUGAUCCCCACUUGUCUAUGAACUUGGGAGGCAAGAGGAUCCUUCACUAGUGGGCUUGUCCGUUCCCUGAUUCUGAAGAGGCCCCCUUACUCCCUUCCUGGAGGAAUGUAAGAAGCUCCUUGAGGGCUGAGCCUGGAUCUGAUCCAAGUCUGUACCCUCCCUACCGACCCCCAACUCCUUCUGCUACAGUUAUCCCCUGAGGUCAAGGAAGAACUGCUCUCUUCGAAUGUGGACUUUGGUCUCCCUCCCUUUCCCACACACCCCGAGAGGCCAGGAAGGAACAUUCUGGAACACGCUAGCUCCCUGGAGACCCUCCCCCUUGGGAGCAGCAUUUGCCCUGGGCCCAGCUGUCUCCCACGGCCAACCUGAAGAUCUCCAUCCUACUGAGGAAGAGGCCUUGAUUUGGUGAGGGUACUGAGGGUGGGGCCCCCAGUGCAACCUUCCAUUUUUCUCUAAGAAUCCACAUGUAGUUGGGAAAGUCAGACAUGAGUCCUGUGAC